CAGUUAACACACACUUUAUUCCCUCUCUUAGGGCACAUCAGAUUUCUGGCCGACACCAACCACCGCCCACUUCGAUGACCAAGCAACCUCCCUCUGCCACCAACAAGUUAUGAAGUAUGCAAGAAAUGUUAGGCGAAGCAAAGGAGUGCUGGAUCUUAACGUUCCUCCAGUUGAAAACCUUGAGCAAGCCCUUUUAGUGGAUGACAGUGCUCAAGGUUUAUUAUCAUUAUCUGCAACUCUAGGGAUUCCUAGUGGUCAAGUUCAUCAGCCAGCUAGAUCCACACUACCAUCACCCACAACAUUUGAAGAAAUGGCGGCGGUAAUGGUGGAUAACGGUGGUAGAUGACACAACAUUGGGGGGUUUCUUGAUAAUAUUCAGACGGCGACAACUGUGAGGGGCUUUCUAGAUGAUGCCGGAAACCUAACUAUCCGUUGCCGGAAUAAUAUUCAGACGGAGAAACCUACUCCGAUAGAUUCUUUAAAUAGGGUGUUCAAAUCAAUAUUGAUAUUUUUGUUCCAAUAAGAUAGAUUGAUUAUAGAGUGAUGGGGAUUGUGCAAUGAUGGGUGGUCGGCUUGUGGUGGCGGGUUGUAUAUGGGUGAUCGGCUAGUGGUGGUGACCGGUAGAUCUAGCGUUUUUAGUCUGGAAAAUUGGGGAUAGAGGUUGUGGUUUCAGUGGUGGGUGUUGUGCAAAUCGGAGGCAGUGGUGGAGGGUGGCGGCGGCUGAUGGCGCCGGUGGUGGACGGGUAGGGACAGAGAGUGGUAGAGAGAUAACAUUUUAAUUUAUUUAAAAUGGUUAAGUAUUUAAGUUA